rnacentral:ncRNA from 1 species
AGCUUCAGCUAGGGGUCCGCAUCUGGAACGAUUUCCAGAAUGCUGGUGAGAGAGUCCCUUAAUACCUGAUGCGGAUAACGCCGCCGUAGGGAAGCUCGGGAUAUUUCCG